GAGCGAUGAUGUGAAAAUACGCAACCUAAAGGGUAUUUGAUCAAAAUACGUUUUAUGAUGGUUUCUACACUUGAACUGAGCUCU
rnacentral:snoRNA from 14 species